UACGUAGGCAGCGAGCGUUGUUCGGAAUUACUGGGCGUAAAGAGUGUGUAGGCGGCGCUCUAAGUUCGGUGUGAAAUCUCUCGGCUUAACUGGGAGGGUGCGCCGGAAACUGGAGCGCUCGAACGUGGGAGAGGAAAGCGGAAUUCCUGGUGUAGCGGUGAAAUGACGUAGAUAUCAGGAGGAACACCUGCGGUGUAGACGGCUUUCUGGACCAUUGUUGACGCUGAGACACGAAAGCGUGGGUAGCAAACAGG
rnacentral:rRNA from 1 species